rnacentral:rRNA from 1 species
ACGGGGUGCAGCAGGCGCGAAGACUUUGCAAUACACGAAAGUGUGACAGGGCUAUCCCGAGUGCCAUCCGCUGAGGAAGGCUUUUACCCAGUCUAGAAAGCUGGGAGAAUAAGGAGAGGGCAAGUCUGGUGUCAGCCGCCGCGGUAAUACCAGCUCUCCGAGUGGUGUGGAUGUUUAUUGGGCCUAAAGCAUCCGUAGCUGGCCAAGUUAGUCCCCUGUUAAAUCCACCGAAUUAAUCGUUGGUGUGCGGGAGAUACUACUAGGCUAGGAGGCGGGAGAGGCCGACGGUAUUCCCGGGGUAGGGGUGAAAUCCUAUAAUCCCGGGAGGACCACCAGUGGCGAAGGCUGUCGGCUAGAACGCGCUCGACGGUGAGGGACGAAAGCUGGGGGAGCGAACCGGAUUAGAUACCCGGGUAGUCCCAGCUGUAAACGAUGCGGGCUAGGUGUUGGGGUGGCUACGAGCCACUUCAGUGCCGCAGGGAAGCCAUUAAGCCCGCCGCCUGGGGAGUACGGCCGCAAGGCUGAAACUUAAAGGAAUUGGCGGGGGAGCA